GUGGAUUAGAUACCCUGGUAGUCCACGCCCUAAACGAUGUACACUAGUUGUUGUGAGACUUGAUCUUGCAGUAAUGCAGUUAACACAUUAAGUGUACCGCCUGGGGAGUACGGUCGCAAGAUUAAAACUCAAAGGAAUAGACGGGGACCCGCACAAGCGGUGGAGCAUGUGGUUUAAUUCGACGAUACACGAAGAACCUUACCUGGACUUGACAUAGUAAGAACUUUCUAGAGAUAGAUUGGUGUCUGCUUGCAGAAACUUAUAUACAGGUGCUGCACGGCCGUCGCCAACU
rnacentral:rRNA from 1 species